CCUGGCGCUGCUUACCAUGCAAGUCGAACGGAGAUUCAGCAAUGGAUCUUAGUGGCGAACGGGUGAGUAACGCGUAGGCAAUCUGCCUUCUAGAUGGGGACAACAUCCCGAAAGGGGUGCUAAUACCGAAUGUUGUACCGUUUCCGCAUGGAGAUGAUACUAAAGGUGGCCUCUGAAUAUGCUACCGCUAGAAGAUGAGCCUGCGUCUGAUUAGCUAGUUGGAGGGGUAACGGUCCACCAAGGCUUCGAUCAGUAGCCGGUCUGAGAGGAUGAACGGCCACACUGGGACUGAGACACGGCCCAGACUCCUACGGGAGGCAGCAGUGGGGAAUCUUCCGCAAUGGACGAAAGUCUGACGGAGCAACGCCGCGUGAGUGAAGAAGGUUUUCGGAUCGUAAAGCUCUUUCGUUAGGGACGAACGUGCUCUUUGUGAAUAAUGAGGAGUAAUGACGGUACCUAAAUAAGAAGCCACGGCUAACUACGUGCCAGCAGCCGCGGUAAUACGUAGGUGGCAAGCGUUGUCCGGAAUUAUUGGGCGUAAAGCGCGCGCAGGCGGGAUAUCAAGUCUGUCUUAAAAGUGCGAGGCUCAACCUCGUGAGGGGACGGAAACUGGUAUUCUUGAGUGUCGGAGAGGAAAGUGGAAUUCCAAGUGUAGCGGUGAAUGCGUAGAGAUUUGGAAGAACACCAGUGGCGAAGGCGACUUUCUGGACGAUGUCUGACGCUGAGGCGCGAAAGCUAGGGGAGCGAACGGGAUUAGAUACCCCGGUAGUCCUAGCCGUAAACGAUGGGUACUAGGUGUAGGGGGUAUCGACCCCUCCUG
rnacentral:rRNA from 1 species